rnacentral:rRNA from 1 species
GAUGAACGCUGGCGGCGUGCCUAAUACAUGCAAGUCGAGCGAACAGAUAAGGAGCUUGCUCCUUUGACGUUAGCGGCGGACGGGUGAGUAACACGUGGGUAACCUACCUAUAAGACUGGAAUAACUCCGGGAAACCGGGGCCAAUGCAGGAUAACAUGUUGAACGGCAUGGUUCUACAGUGAAAGGCGGCUUUGCUGUCACUUAUAGAUGGACCCGCGCCGUAUUAGCUAGUUGGUGAGGUAACGGCUCACCAAGGCAACGAUACGUAGCCGACCUGAGAGGAUGAUCGGCCACACUGGAACUGAGACACGGUCCAGACUCCUACGGGAGGCAGCAGUAGGGAAUCUUCCGCAAUGGGCGAAAGCCUGACGGAGCAACGCCGCGUGAGUGAUGAAGGUCUUCGGAUCGUAAAACUCUGUUAUUAGGGAAGAACAAAUGCGUAAGUAACUGUGCGCGUCUUGACGGUACCUAAACAGAAAGCCACGGCUAACUACGUG